AGUGAACGCUGGCGGCGUGCUUAACACAUGCAAGUCGAACGAGAACGGAUUAUAGCUUGCUAUAAUUGUCAGCUAAGUGGCGCACGGGUGAGUAAUGUAUAGGUAAUAUGCCUCUUACUAAGGGAUAACAAAUGGAAACGUUUGCUAAUACCUUACACUCCUUAUUAACAUAAGUUAAUAAGGGAAAGAUUUAUUGGUAAGAGAUUAGCCUGUAUUGUAUCAGUUAGUUGGUGGGGUAAUGGCUUACCAAGACUAUGACACAUAACUGGUUUGAGAGGAUGAUCAGUCACACUGGAACUGAGACACGGUCAGACUCCUACGGGAGGCAGCAGUGGGGAAUAUUGCACAAUGGACGAAAGUCUGAUGCAGCAACGCCGCGUGGAGGAUGACACAUUUCGGUGCGUAAACUCCUUUUAUAUGAGAAGAUAAUGACGGUAUUAUAUGAAUAAGCACCGGCUAACUCCGUGCCAGCCGCCGCGGUAA
rnacentral:rRNA from 1 species